UAUGGCCAUAUCAUGUUGAAACAUUGGUUCCUGUAUGAUCACCAGUUAAGCAACAUCGAGCCUUGUCAGUGCCUAGAUGGGUGACCACAUGGGAAUACCUGGUGCUGUAA